CGAAACAGCAGCCGGGAGUCGUGGGAAUACGUGGGGGGCGAGGGGUAGUCCGGAUUGCUGGGCGUAAGGCUGUGGUAUGCAGUUAGUUAAGUCAGGUGUGAAAUCCACGGGCUGAACCUGGGGAGGGCGGUUGAGACUGGAUAGCUUGGAGGGCGGCAGAGGGAGGUGGAAUUCCACGUGUAGCAGUGAAAUGCGUAGAGAUGUGGAGGAACACCGAUGGCGAAGGCAGCCUCCUGGGCCAGCACUGACGCUCAUGCACGAAAGCGUGGGGAGCAAACAGGAUUAGAUACCCGAGUAUUC
rnacentral:rRNA from 1 species